AGGACGAACGCUGGCGGCGUGCUUAACACAUGCAAGUCGAGCGAGGCCCUCUCUUCGGAGAGGUGCCCUAGCGGCGAACGGGUGAGUAACACGUGGGCAACCUGCCCCUAGCACUGGGAUAAGCCCGGGAAACCGGGUCUAAUACCGGAUAUGACCUUCAAGGGCAUCCUCGAAGGUGUAAAGGAUUCUGGCUAGGGAUGGGCCCGCGGCCUAUCAGCUUGUUGGUGGGGUAAUGGCCCACCAAGGCAACGACGGGUAGCCGGCCUGAGAGGGCGACCGGCCACACUGGGACUGAGACACGGCCCAGACUCCUACGGGAGGCAGCAGUGGGGAAUAUUGCACAAUGGGCGAAAGCCUGAUGCAGCGACGCCGCGUGAGGGAUGACGGCCUUCGGGUUGUAAACCUCUUCAGCAGGGACGAAGCGAAAGUGACGGUACCUGCAGAAGAAGCGCCGGCUAACUACGCGCCAGCAGCCGCGGUAA
rnacentral:rRNA from 1 species